CAUUGAACUUCCAAUUACUGAUAACCAAUUACUUAACAAACAACACUUUUAUUUUUCCUUGUAUAUAUACUUUAUGGAUUCACUGUUUUACAUUUGCUGUCAGUAAGACUACUUUAAACAAUAACUGGAGAUAAAAAGUACCAUUACCAAUCUGUAAUUUACAAUGUCAAAGUUAAUUUUGUUGAUCGUUUUAAUAAUUGUUUUGAUGAAUGUCAUCAUGAAUACAGCGGAAGAUUGUUUAUCAGCUGGCUCACGGUGUGACGAUAAAAAUGAAUGCUGCAGCAAUAAAUGCGAACCCGAAGGAUACGCCGCAUUUUGUAAAGAUGAAUGAUUACUUGUCAGAUUAAUGGAUUAAUUUUAAGUAACUACUAUAGUUACUGGUAUGUAAUAAAAAAUGCAACAUAUACUUUAA